AGAGAGGCAGAGCAUAACGGUUUCUCUUCCUCUAGUUUUCCCCUGUUUCUCCGGAGAAACAGAGAUAUUAUACAAAAGAGAAUAUACUAAUAACGUUAAUCAGUAAAUGUAUAAGUACCAAUUUCUGUAUGUUUGUCACAUUUUUUCUAUAUUCUAUAGAAAAUCUGGAUUAGACUGAUCCAAACCGCAUAUUCCUCUAAG